rnacentral:rRNA from 1 species
GGGUUGUGAGGUUAAGCGACUAAGCGUACACGGUGGAUGCCCUGGCAGUCAGAGGCGAUGAAGGACGUGCUAAUCUGCGAUAAGCGUCGGUAAGGUGAUAUGAACCGUUAUAACCGGCGAUUUCCGAAUGGGGAAACCCAGUGUGUUUCGACACACUAUCAUUACGUGAAUACAUAGCGUAAUGAAGCGAACCGGGGGAACUGAAACAUCUAAGUACCCCGAGGAAAAGAAAUCAACCGAGAUUCCCCCAGUAGCGGCGAGCGAACGGGGAGCAGCCCAGAGUCUGAAUCAGCUUGUGUGUUAGUGGAACGGUCUGGAAAGUCCGACGGUACAGGGUGAUAGUCCCGUACACCAAAAUGCACAGGUUGUGAACUCGAAGAGUAGGGCGGGACACGUGGUAUCCUGUCUGAAUAUGGGGGGACCAUCCUCCAAGGCUAAAUACUCCUGACUGACCGAUAGUGAACCAGUACCGUGAGGGAAAGGCGAAAAGAACCCCGGCGAGGGGAGUGAAAAAGAACCUGAAACCGUGUACGUACAAGCAGUGGGAGCCUCUUUAUGGGGUGACUGCGUACCUUUUGUAUAAUGGGUCAGCGACUUAUAUUCUGUAGCAAGGUUAACCGUAUAGGGGAGCCGAAGGGAAACCGAGUCUUAACUGGGCGUUAAGUUGCAGGGUAUAGACCCGAAACCCGGUGAUCUAGCCAUGGGCAGGUUGAAGGUUGGGUAACACUAACUGGAGGACCGAACCGACUAAUGUUGAAAAAUUAGCGGAUGACUUGUGGCUGGGGGUGAAAGGCCAAUCAAACCGGGAGAUAGCUGGUUCUCCCCGAAAGCUAUUUAGGUAGCGCCUCGUGAAUUCAUCUUCGGGGGUAGAGCACUGUUUCGGCUAGGGGUCAUCCCGACUUACCAACCCGAUGCAAACUGCGAAUACCGAAGAAUGUUAUCACGGGAGACACACGGCGGGUGCUAACGUCCGUCGUGAAGAGGGAAACAACCCAGACCGCCAGCUAAGGUCCCAAAGUCAUGGUUAAGUGGGAAACGAUGUGGGAAGGCACAGACAGCCAGGAUGUUGGCUUAGAAGCAGCCAUCAUUUAAAGAAAGCGUAAUAGCUCACUGGUCGAGUCGGCCUGCGCGGAAGAUGUAACGGGGCUAAACCAUGCACCGAAGCUGCGGCAGCGACACUAUGUGUUGUUGGGUAGGGGAGCGUUCUGUAAGCCGUUGAAGGUGUAUCGUGAGGUAUGCUGGAGGUAUCAGAAGUGCGAAUGCUGACAUAAGUAACGAUAAUGCGGGUGAAAAACCCGCACGCCGGAAGACCAAGGGUUCCUGUCCAACGUUAAUCGGGGCAGGGUGAGUCGACCCCUAAGGCGAGGCCGAAAGGCGUAGUCGAUGGGAAACAGGUUAAUAUUCCUGUACUUGGUGUUACUGCGAAGGGGGGACGGAGAAGGCUAUGUUAGCCGGGCGACGGUUGUCCCGGUUUAAGCAUGUAGGCGGAGGUUCCAGGUAAAUCCGGUACCUUUUUAACGCUGAGGUGUGAUGACGAGGCACUACGGUGCUGAAGUAACAAAUGCCCUGCUUCCAGGAAAAGCCUCUAAGCAUCAGGUAACACGAAAUCGUACCCCAAACCGACACAGGUGGUCAGGUAGAGAAUACCAAGGCGCUUGAGAGAACUCGGGUGAAGGAACUAGGCAAAAUGGUGCCGUAACUUCGGGAGAAGGCACGCUGAUAUGUAGGUGAAGCGGUUUACCCGUGGAGCUGAAAUCAGUCGAAGAUACCAGCUGGCUGCAACUGUUUAUUAAAAACACAGCACUGUGCAAACACGAAAGUGGACGUAUACGGUGUGACGCCUGCCCGGUGCCGGAAGGUUAAUUGAUGGGGUUAUCCGUAAGGAGAAGCUCUUGAUCGAAGCCCCGGUAAACGGCGGCCGUAACUAUAACGGUCCUAAGGUAGCGAAAUUCCUUGUCGGGUAAGUUCCGACCUGCACGAAUGGCGUAAUGAUGGCCAGGCUGUCUCCACCCGAGACUCAGUGAAAUUGAACUCGCUGUGAAGAUGCAGUGUACCCGCGGCAAGACGGAAAGACCCCGUGAACCUUUACUAUAGCUUGACACUGAACACUGGUCCUUGAUGUGUAGGAUAGGUGGGAGGCUUUGAAGUGUGGACGCCAGUCUGCAUGGAGCCAUCCUUGAAAUACCACCCUUUAAUGGCUGGUGUUCUAACGUGGACCCGUUACCCGGGUUGCGGACAGUGUCUGGUGGGUAGUUUGACUGGGGCGGUCUCCUCCUAAAGAGUAACGGAGGAGCACGAAGGUUAGCUAAUCCUGGUCGGACAUCAGGAGGUUAGUGCAAAGGCAUAAGCUAGCUUGACUGCGAGAGUGACGGCUCGAGCAGGUGCGAAAGCAGGUCUUAGUGAUCCGGUGGUUCUGAAUGGAAGGGCCAUCGCUCAACGGAUAAAAGGUACUCCGGGAUAACAGGCUGAUACCGCCCAAGAGUUCAUAUCGACGGCGGUGUUUGGCACCUCGAUGUCGGCUCAUCACAUCCUGGGGCUGAAGUAGGUCCCAAGGGUAUGGCUGUUCGCCAUUUAAAGUGGUACGCGAGCUGGGUUUAGAACGUCGUGAGACAGUUCGGUCCCUAUCUGCCGUGGGCGCUGGAGAAUUGAGGGGGGCUGCUCCUAGUACGAGAGGACCGGAGUGGACGCAUCACUGGUGUUCGGGUUGUCAUGCCAAUGGCAUUGCCCGGUAGCUAAAUGCGGAAGAGAUAAGUGCUGAAAGCAUCUAAGCACGAAACUUGCCCCGAGAUGAGUUCUCCCUGAGACUAUAAGUCUCCUGAAGGAACGUUGAAGACGACGACGUUGAUAGGUCGGGUGUGUAAGUGUAGCGAUACAUUGAGCUAACCGAUACUAAUGAACCGUGAGGCUUAACCUUACAACGCCGAAGGUGUUU